GGGGUUGUGGCUCAACAGUAGAGCACUCACCUAGCAAGUGUGAGCCCCUGAGUUUGAUCCUCAGCACCA
rnacentral:tRNA from 1 species